CAAAUAAGGGAAUAAAGCACGCCGGCUGAGUCAGCAGCGGCAACCCGCUAGGGUCCCUUUCCAUGUUGUGGAAGCUUUUUUCUUUCGCUCUUCACAAUAAAUCUUGUUGCUGCCCACUCUUUGGGUCCAUGCCAGCUUUUAUGAGCUGUAACACUCACCUCGAAGGUCUGCAGCUUCACUCCUGAAGUCAGCCAACCACAAACCCGCCAGAAGGAAGAAACUCCAGACACGUCCGAACAUGGGAAGGAACAAACUCUAGACACACCAUCUUUAAGAACUGUAACACUCACCACCAGGGUCCGCGGCUUCAUUCUUGAAGUCAGCGAGACCAAGAACCCACCAAUUCCGGACGCAAGCUGGUUAUUUUGAGAAACUCCAGACACAGGAGUAGCUCUGAAAACAAGGAUGAAGGUUGCCCUUUGGUAAGGGAAAUUUACAUCUAUGAAGAAAAUAUCUGGGGGGUGUCUCCUCUGCACCGGGAAGAGAGGGAUGACUAAACCACUAGAGGCUCUUAACGGAGAAAGAGAAAUGAUGGUAUUUCAGCCUGAAGUCUAAGACUAAGAUCUACUCUAGAGAUUUACUAAUUUCUCUGGAUUAUCACCAAUGUAUACAAGAGGCUGUGAAGCUGAGAGCUGGAUAUAUAUAAAGUUUAGAGCUGCUGUAACCCUCUUGCAAUCUCAGAGGAGCUCCUGGAAUUGCAAGAUAGACUGCAUGGAGCCUGAAGAUGAAGCCCUCAUAGCAAGAGGCGGAGUGAAGAGACAGAGAAAUGGAGUCAUUAAGGACAUUGGUUAAGUCCUUGUUUUCAGUAGUGCCUGUAAUCAGCCAUUCUGGUGGAUUUUUCAGUUACUUGACUUUAAUAAUAAACAGUUGCGCUGUAAUCAUAAAUACCUCCUAA
rnacentral:lncRNA from 1 species